UAGGGAAUAUUGCAAAAUGGGCGAAAGCCCGAUGCAGCAACGCCACGUGGGCGAUGAAGCCCUUCGGGGCGUAAAGCUCUUUCGACCGGAACGAUAAUGACGGUACCGGGAGAAGAAGCUGCGGCUAACUACGUGCCAGCAGCCGCGGUAAUACGUAGGCAGCAAGCGUUGUUCGGAGUUACUGGGCGUAAAGAGUGCGUAGGCGGUUUUCUAAGUUCGGUGUGAAAUCUCCCGGCUUAACUGGGAGGGUGCGCCGAAGACUGGGAAGCUGGAGUGUGGGAAAGGCAAGCGGAAUUCCUGGUGUAGCGGUGAAAUGCGUAGAUAUCAGGAGGAACACCGGCGGUGUAGACGGCUUGCUAGACCAUAACUGACGCUGAGGCACGAAAGCGUGGGUAGCAAACA
rnacentral:rRNA from 1 species